rnacentral:lncRNA from 1 species
UAGGUUGAAAUAAUAGUUUUGGGACCAUCAACAUUAAAAUUUCAUUAUGAUGGGACAAAAAGGCUCAUGUAUAAUCAAUAGUAAGAAUCCAUUAUUAUUGACUUGAAAUGAAUGAAGCAUGAACACAUUUGUGCAGAUACGAACAGUUAGCAAUCUUUUGAAUAAUAAAGAAUUAACACUACACAGAUAAUGUCAUUCUGGGAAUUGGACUCGAACUUAAAUUGGUACAUGUCUCUUUGUUAUGAAGUCUGAUUCACAUCCCUUGGUAACUCCCAUUAAGCUGUUUCUCAAAAUAACGUGUCUACAAUUUUGUAUUCUCAGAUCUGUUUUGUGAGGGAGGUGGCUGAGCAGCUCGGGGUUGUGGUGGAGUGUGCUUGGUCAGUCUCUGGAUUUGGUGGUGCCACUGAGAGCAUGACUGCACAGGGAUGCUGUUGAUGCAGUGGCCAUGACUGCAUGGGAGCAGGCUGGGAGUGUGCUAUGGUUUUCUCCUGUCCUGCCUUGGGGCAGUGCUUUAGCACAGUGGUGUGUUGCUGCCUGCAUUGCAGCUGCCAGGUUGCAAGAGCUGCUUUUCAGAGGUAAGAGAGGAGAAUAAUUGAGACACAAAGGACAGUAAUCCAGCUGAGCAGCCCAUCUGUUCCUGGGAGGAGCACAGAAAGGAAGGAAGGUACCACCAGUAGGGCCUUUAGAUUCUGUUCUCUUUGCCUUGCAGUUGGGGAAUAUAAAAAUCGGACCCUGUCCUUGGAGAAAGGGAAGUUUAUACUGGUUUAUUUCCAAUACAGCCUUCUUCGAGAAGGGGGCUAGAAGAGGGAAGCCCUUACCAUUUACAGA